UGCAUGGUUGUCGUCAGCUCGUGCCGUGAGGUGUCGGGUUAAGUCCCAUAACGAGCGCAACCCCUACCUUUAGUUGCCAUCAGGUAAUGCUGGGGACUCUAAAGGAACUGCCUACGCAAGUAGUGAGGAAGGCGGGGAGUGACGUCAAACCAGCACGGCCCUUACGUCCAGGGCUACACACGUGCUACAAUGGCCGAUACAGAGGGCAGCUACCUGGUGACAGGAUGCAAAUCUCCAAAGUCGGUCUCAGUUCGGAUCGGAGUCUGCAACCCGACUCCGUGAAGUUGGAUUCGCUAGUAAUCGCGCAUCAGCCAUGGCGCGGUGAAUACGUUCCCGGGCCUU
rnacentral:rRNA from 1 species